GAUACAUCACUCGGAAAAGCAGUUUCCGCAUCACCGAGACUGAGGCCAUCCACAUCAGGCGGUAUUCCUCGUGAUGAUUCAUUAGCAGAGGUAGCUCUGAAGCCAGGAAAACAACUUCCUUCGGAAAAGCAAGGAGAUUCAUCAGGCGUUGUACAUGUAGAUGCAGCAAACUCGAGUCGUGUAACAAGAAAUACCUUCAUCGGUCAACAGAAUAUCACCAAAUCUUCCCGAAAGAGACGUGAUUCCAAGGAUGAUGGAGGUCCAAGGAAGCGAAAGAGGAAGACAGACCGAAAGGCUGACUCUAGCGAUGAAGAUUAAAUAGCAAGAGAGGACAAACAAAGGAAAAGCCACGAUUUUAAGGAUGGCAGUCUGAAUAGAACUCCAAGGAAGAGAAUAAAGAAGACAAACCGACAGACGCCUCCUUGAUAACUUUCAAAUUCGUAUUUUUACUUUUUAAUAUUUCAAUCCUAGGUUUUUCCUCAUUUUUCUUUUUGUUAUGUGGGAGAUUACCACAGAAAAGAUACACUCUAAAAAAUGGGUCAUUGAAUGUUCUCAUAGUCGAAAUAUGACAAUACAUUUCUGAAACAUCUGGACCAAAUUUCAUUCCACUUGUUUAUGUAGUCCCAUACAUCUGUAUCUCUGAACGGUCAAUGUGGCUUCCAGCAAGAAAAAAUAGAAUCAAUAUGAUGAUCUAAAAAAAAACUUCAUAGUAUACAGUUAUAUGCGACUUAACAUUUCCAAUCGCUUGCAGUCAAUUCAUUUUCAACUAUUUAAUGGAAUGAUCAGAAUCCAACUUUAUCUUCAAGCUAUUGUUGUACCUUGACGUAUACCAUUAUGUUACAGAAAUGGAAUGAAAUGAAAAUUUCAUAAAGUGUGAAAUAUCUAUACAACAUAUAGCGCAUUUAAACGUGUC